CCAGGCCUUAAGAGACCCACAGGCAGUUUAUUCAGGAAAGGGCCUUGUUGGUUGACUUCCUCAGGAAAUGGGCCUGGGCCAGGGAAAAGUGCGAUCCUGCAAAUCGGCCCCAGCCCCUCCCCAGCCCACUCUGUCCAAACCCAGUGAGAGGGCUCCCAGUCUCAGCUCCCAGUCCCGGCUCCCAGUCCCGGCUCCCAGUCCCAGUCGUGACUCCCAGUCCCGGCUCCCGGUCCCAGCUCCCCUCUGGGGCCAGGGGGUCUCUGACAGACGUUACAAAUCUGACCCAGGGCCCUCUCCCAGCCAGCGUCCGGCCUCUGGACUGGGCCUACCAGAAGGCACCUCAGGAGACCCUGUGGCGAGGGCCCAGUGCCGGGAGCCCUGCCUGAGGUGACCCCAGGCCUGGAGCUGCCGUCCUGCCCAGGCCCCUGCCCAAGCGACAGGCUGCACCAACACGGGGUCCCAGCGUCACCAGCUGGUGGUCCUGGGCGUGGGCAGGGGCCAGGCCGGCUCUGGGACAUGGGCAGCCCCGAGGACUGCUAGGAAGGGAAGGGCAGGAGGGACAGUCUGGCAGGAGCCCCCGCAGAACUGAGCAGCAGCACCGAGGUAAAUCAGGAAACCUGGGUCUUCUACUAGCCAGUGACUGGUAAGGGGAGGAGGCCGGAUUCCAGCUGGCCUCUCGGGCCCAGGGCCGGUCCGCGGCCUUCCCUCCUUGGGACGGGGGCUAAGAAGUCCAAGGCUCAGCCAGAGGAGAAAGGAAGCAGGGGAGCCCAGCACCGGCCCCUGCGGUCAUGGAAGUCGGCACUCACACCUGGGCACUCUGGGGGGGGGGAAGGAGGCCACCUCAAGGACUCCAAUGGCCGCCGUGACCCCAAAGGACCCUGGAGGCGAGGUGGCAGCUCAGGAGUCAAACACCUCCCAAUGCGGGCUCCUGCCAACCCCCCUCCCACAUCCAUCGGCCUCAACCAGCGUCUGCAGGGCCUCCCGGGGGAGGGAGGGGUGCUGAGAGCGGUCCCCCAGUGACCUCUGGGCUUCCUGCCCGCUGACACCACUUGGGGCCUGUGCCUCCCAUCACGCAGGGACCCCCGGCCUGCUGCCGCCCCGGUGGCGGGGAGGGAACACCCAGGGCCCUCACCUCCCAGAGCUCGGGCCCUUCCUGUGGGGAACGGUCGCCUCCGGGCUCGGGGCUUGUCCACAGACUCCCCGAAGUGAAACUCCCUUAUCCCCCCACGUGGUCACCCCCCCAAACUAGAGCGAAAGGUCAAAGAGUCAACCUUUCACAUUUGUGCGCCCCUUCUCGGGGUAGUGCUCAUCACACAAAAAUUAACACUCAGUGCUUAAGAUCAUCACACAGUAGGUCAGUACUUAAAGCUUAGGCUCAUCACACAGUAGGUCAGUACUUAAAGCUUUGCUCAUCACACAGUAGGUCAGUACUUAAGGCUCAGGUUCACAUGACAGGUUCAGUCACAGUACCUAAUGCUUUGUUUAUCACACAGUAAGUCGGAACUUAAUGCUUUUUUUGUUAUUCAUUCAUUCCUCCAAGUCAGGAGACUCCUCCUAAGCCAGAGGAACGGGAUCCAAAUCCUGCCUUUAUUACCUUGGAUAAGUCACUUCCUCCCGGAGCCCACUUGUUUCAUUUAUGAGAAGGGGCCUCCCUGCAAUCCCCUCGGGGCACGAAGCAGCUCACCCAGCUGUGCUUGGCCCCUGACUGGCGGCACCUCCCAUGGGGCCUCAACGUCCUUAUCUGUAAAAGGGCGGCCUGUGUUCCCUCCUCCCCCUGACCUGAGAAAAGUGCUUCAUGAAUCACUGAGCUGGCAGUUACCCUGACUGCUGGGACCAACCCCUCUCUGGGCACGUCUGUCCCCGGCCUUUGUGGUCUCAGGUCCGGGUUAGAACAGCUCUCCCCCUGAGCCCCCCAUCCCUUCCCCUCCUUCCCCCACUCCAGGGCCCAGAGCACGAACCAGGCAAAUGGGAGCCUAGGACACGGGGCACAAAAUGAGCCUUAAAGUCAAAGUGUGGGCAGAGGAAGGGGAAGGCGCGAGGCGGCCACCGGGCAGCCUCCCAUUUGACUGAACUAAUUCUUCAGCCUUAUUUGGACUACAACUGUUCACUCUAAAUUUGAUGCCCUGAGGCUAAGCCCCAGUUGCGCCACCCAGUUAUGGUCCUGCUCAGGAGGGUCCGUGAACGGAGCAGUCGGCUUCUAGAGAGUCCCUCCAGUCAGCGCGCCCAAUCCUCCCCAGGCCCUCGGGGAGAGGGGACACAGCAGUGGGACCGCCCGACGGGGGUCUCGCCCUCGGAGGCUCCCUAAGCCUGGCCAAAUAAGACCGCUGCUGAGUCCCAAGUCGUCACCCGCAGAAUGGGAAGGAGAGCUCGCGUUCCCUGCAGACACUGUCAGGGGGAGGGUCCUCGGGAGCCGACCUCAUCCGGGGCAUCUCUGUCCAAAGUCAGGUUCUGCCGAGGAGGAAACUGAGGCUCAUGUCUGAGAAGGGAAGAAAUUCCCUUCCAGUCUCAGAGGUGGGAGACUCCUCCACUGGGUUUUCCUGUGCACUGACCCUGGGAGCCACCAUCAGAGCCCACGGCCACAGGAAGCCAAGGAUCUUCUUUGACCUUCAGACCAACCAAGCUCAGAGAUUUCGAGCAGACCUCAGACGCGGCUUAGUUCAAUCUCCCCAUUUUACAGUUUUCCUAGAAAGGGGAUCGAGUUUGUCCAAGAUCACAAAGCUCUGUCCGCAGAUCUGGGGCCAGAAGGGGCGGUCGCUGGGGCAUUUACGGGGUGCCAGGCACUGGGAAGGUACCGGAGAGUUUCGAGGAGUCAAAACACAGGCCCCGUCCCCACGACGACGACGACGCUUUCACGAGAGAAACCACACGUCGAUGUUUCUAUAAAAUGUCUAUAAAACACGAUCAAACAAUCCCUAGAACUGACAAAGACGACAUAAGUGAACUAAUAAAAUUCACCGACAUUUAACCUUU